GGGUAGAUUCCAGAGUGGCCAAAUGGGGCAGACUGUAAAUCUGCUGCGUCAUCGCUUCGGUGGUUCGAAUCCAUCUCUACCCACAA
rnacentral:tRNA from 1 species